rnacentral:rRNA from 1 species
GACGAAGGGGGCUAGCGUUGCUCGGAAUCACUGGGCGUAAAGGGUGCGUAGGCGGGUCUUUAAGUCAGGGGUGAAAUCCUGGAGCUCAACUCCAGAACUGCCUUUGAUACUGAAGAUCUUGAGUUCGGGAGAGGUGAGUGGAACUGCGAGUGUAGAGGUGAAAAUUCGUAGAUAUUCGCAAGAACACCAGUGGCGAAGGCGGCUCACUGGCCCGAUACUGACGCUGAGGCACGAAAGCGUGGGGAGCAAACAGG